GGUGCUGCAUGGCUGUCGUCAGCUCGUGUUGUGAAAUGUUGGGUUAAGUCCCGCAACGAGCGCAACCCUUAUCCUUUGUUGCCAGCGGUCCGGCCGGGAACUCAAAGGAGACUGCCAGUGAUAAACUGGAGGAAGGUGGGGAUGACGUCAAGUCAUCAUGGCCCUUACGACCAGGGCUACACACGUGCUACAAUGGCGCAUACAAAGAGAAGCGACCUCGCGAGAGCAAGCGGACCUCAUAAAGUGCGUCGUAGUCCGGAUUGGAGUCUGCAACUCGACUCCAUGAAGUCGGAAUCGCUAGUAAUCGUGGAUCAGAAUGCCACGGUGAAUACGUUCCCGGGCCUUGUACACACCGCCCGUCACACCAUGGGAGUGGGUUGCAAAAGAGGUAGGUAGCUUAACCUUCGGGAGGGCGCUUACCACUUUGUGAUUCAUGACUGGGGUGAAGUCGUAACAAGGUAACCGUAGGGGAACCUGCGGCUGGAUCACCUC
rnacentral:rRNA from 1 species